GCCCCGAUGGUGUAGUCCGGACUAUCAUUCUGCCCUUUCGAGGCAGCGACCCGAGUUCAAAUCUCGGUCGGGGCG
rnacentral:tRNA from 1 species